CCUACGGGAGGCAGCAGUGGGGAAUAUUGGACAAUGGGCGAAAGCCUGAUCCAGCAAUGCCGCGUGAGUGAAGAAGGCCUUCGGGUUGUAAAGCUCUUUUACCCGGGAAGAUAAUGACUGUACCGGGAGAAUAAGCCCCGGCUAACUCCGUGCCAGCAGCCGCGGUAAUACGGAGGGGGCUAGCGUUGUUCGGAAUUACUGGGCGUAAAGCGUACGUAGGCGGCUUUGUAAGUCAGAGGUGAAAGCCCACGACUCAAUCGUGGAACUGCCUUUGAGACUGCUUCGCUUGAAGAUGGGAGAGGUUAGUGGAAUUCCGAGUGUAGAGGUGAAAUUCGUAGAUAUUCGGAAGAACACCAGUGGCGAAGGCGGCUAACUGGACCAUUCUUGACGCUGAGGUACGAAAGCGUGGGGAGCAAACAGGAUUAGAUACCCUGGUAGUCCACGCCGUAAACGAUAGAUAACUAGCUGUCGGGGCUCUUGGAGCUUCGGUGGCGCAGCUAACGCAUUAAGUUAUCCGCCUGGGGAUACGGCCGCAAGGUUAAAACUCAAAUGAAAUUGACGG
rnacentral:rRNA from 1 species